GACGAACGCUGGCGGCGUGCUUAACACAUGCAAGUCGAACGGAAAGGCCCUGCUUUUGUGGGGUGCUCGAGUGGCGAACGGGUGAGUAACACGUGAGUAACCUGCCCUUGACUUUGGGAUAACUUCAGGAAACUGGGGCUAAUACCGGAUAGGAGCUCCUGCUGCAUGGUGGGGGUUGGAAAGUUUCGGCGGUUGGGGAUGGACUCGCGGCUUAUCAGCUUGUUGGUGGGGUAGUGGCUUACCAAGGCUUUGACGGGUAGCCGGCCUGAGAGGGUGACCGGCCACAUUGGGACUGAGAUGCGGCCCAGACUCCUACGGGAGGCAGCAGUGGGGAAUAUUGCACAAUGGGCGGAAGCCUGAUGUAGCAACGCCGCGUGCGGGAUGACGGCCUUCGGGUUGUAAACCGCUUUCGCCUGUGACGAAGCGUGAGUGACGGUAAUGGGUAAAGAAGCACCGGCUAACUACGUG
rnacentral:rRNA from 1 species